rnacentral:rRNA from 1 species
AACGAACGCUGGCGGCGUGCUUAACACAUGCAAGUCGAACGCGAACGGGUUCUUCGGGACCUUAGUAGAGUGGCGCACGGGUGAGUAACGCGUAAGUUAUCUACCUCGGCAUCUGGAAUAACCCACCGAAAGGUGUGCUAAUACCGGAUACGUUGAGUAAUCAAGAAAGGUGGCCUCUGCAUAUGCUACCGUGCGGAGAUGAGCUUGCGUACCAUUAGCUAGUUGGUGGGGUAAUGGCCUACCAAGGCGACGAUGGUUAGCGGGUCUGAGAGGAUGAUCCGCCACACUGGAACUGGAACACGGACCAGACUCCUACGGGAGGCAGCAGUGAGGAAUAUUGCGCAAUGGGGGCAACCCUGACGCAGCGACGCCGCGUGGAUGAUGAAGGCCUUCGGGUCGUAAAAUCCUGUCAGGUGGAAAGAAAUGUUUAUGUGCUAAUACCAUGUAGACUUGACGGUACCACCGAAGGAAGCACCGGCUAACUCCGUGCCAGCAGCCGCCGCGGUAA